AUGCAGCGACGCCGCGUGAAGGAAGAAGUAUUUCGGUUAUGUAAACUUCUAUCAGCAGGGAAGAAAUGACGGUACCUGACUAAGAAGCCCCGGCUAACUACGUGCC
rnacentral:rRNA from 1 species